rnacentral:rRNA from 1 species
AUUGAACGCUGGCGGCAUGCCUUACACAUGCAAGUCGAACGGUAACGCGGGGCAACCUGGCGACGAGUGGCGAACGGGUGAGUAAAGCAUCGGAACGUGCCCAGUAGUGGGGGAUAGCCCGGCGAAAGCCGGAUUAAUACCGCAUACGACCUACGGGUGAAAGGGGGGGAUCGCAAGACCUCUCGCUAUUGGAGCGGCCGAUGUCAGAUUAGGUAGUUGGUGGGGUAAAGGCCUACCAAGCCGACGAUCUGUAGCUGGUCUGAGAGGACGACCAGCCACACUGGGACUGAGACACGGCCCAGACUCCUACGGGAGGCAGCAGUGGGGAAUUUUGGACAAUGGGCGCAAGCCUGAUCCAGCCAUGCCGCGUGCGGGAAGAAGG